rnacentral:rRNA from 1 species
GGGGAAUUUUGGACAAUGGGCGCAAGCCUGAUCCAGCCAUUCCGCGUGCAGGAUGAAGGCCUUCGGGUUGUAAACUGCUUUUGUACGGAACGAAACGGCCCUUUCUAAUACAGGGGGCUAAUGACGGUACCGUAAGAAUAAGCACCGGCUAACUACGUGCCAGCAGCCGCGGUAAUACGUAGGGUGCAAGCGUUAAUCGGAAUUACUGGGCGUAAAGCGUGCGCAGGCGGUUAUGUAAGACAGUUGUGAAAUCCCCGGGCUCAACCUGGGAACUGCAUCUGUGACUGCAUAGCUAGAGUACGGUAGAGGGGGAUGGAAUUCCGCGUGUAGCAGUGAAAUGCGUAGAUAUGCGGAGGAACACCGAUGGCGAAGGCAAUCCCCCGGACCUGUACUGACGCUCAUGCACGAAAGCGUGGGGAGCAAAC